CCCACAAAGGGUGUUGGUCGA
rnacentral:sRNA from 1 species